GCCCGAGGCGGCCGGGGAUGACGACGUCGUUAUCGACGGCGACGUGGUUGAUCGUGGCCGGCCGCCGUUUCGACAGCAGCUUCAGGUG
rnacentral:tRNA from 1 species